GCUUUCGUAGUGUAGUGGUCAGCACGCUGGACGAGCAUUCCAGAGGUUCGUGAUUCGAUUCCACGCGAAGGCU